rnacentral:lncRNA from 1 species
GUUUGUAUUCCGGAAAAUUUUUUUAGUAUUUACGAUAAAAAUUUUGUUUAUCCUGAAAAUAUUUUUGGGAUAUGUCCGAAAAAUUUUUUUUGGACCCCUAAAAUGGUACACUGACCGAAAUUUUUUUGGCGACGGGGGGGGAGGUCGCCAACAAAAAAUUUGGAGAUGCCCUUUUUUUUCGAAAAGUGCCCCUCAAAGCCUGGCCCCCCAACUUUUUGAAGGUUCCUACGCCCCUGACAGCAGUACAUUUGUGGUAGUCAGACCAAUGUGUCCGCCAUUGGCUUCAAUUAUGCACGGCAUAAUAUAUCCAUAGCAGAUAUAUCAUUGACAUAUAUAUAUACCUGGACUGCUUGCUCUAAUACUUUUUGGCUGAAGGCUUGCGUGGCAAAUUGAAGCUGACGAAUAUGAGAGUUAAACAGCACUGCUGGCGCAUAGCAAAAUACUUUCAGCUCCAAGUACUGGUCAGCGGUCGACUCCAUGAGUAAUCACUCUCGUAUAUUCGCCAACUUGCGACCACGCUUUUUGAGACCGAGCAAGCAGUCCAUAUAUAUAUACAAUGUAGCAGACCCUGGGAAAGAGAUUGUGUAGCAGAUAAUUAUCAUAUCCAUCCUCGUUUGAGAUCAGGAAAUUGUACAGGAAGUAAAGUAGUGGACGUCGAAGGUGUUGUGUGCAAGGACUAUGCACGCGAAAAUAGUUUUGUAUCCCACACAAAAAUGAAUUUGCUAUAUAUUUAUUGUAUUUUUGUAUAUGUAGUGUGCGAAAUUGAGUACCCUGGGUGCCAGAGGUUCUUCCACGCUCGUAGGGGGGAUAAUGAGGGAUACACGAGGAUCCUCUAUCAUCCCCCUUUACGAGCGUGGAAGAACCUCUGGCAAGAAAUUGAGCGGCGAUGUGUAGAACCGUUAGUUGGAUAAAGUUUUCAUAUCAUUACUGUAAAGCUUAGACAUAAAAAUAUCACAAUAAUAACGUCUUCAAGACAUGAUAACAUUCUGAACGUUUAGUUUAAUAUUAAAAAGAAAUUCAACCCAAAAGUUGACUUCAUUCCCCAACCUCGGCCCUGGGCGGCUGAAGGUGAUCGGCGAAAAUGGCCCUGGGAUCGGCUGGUCAAUUCUACAAUCCCAUUGGUACUUGCGAUAGAUGAACCAGGCGGAAGUCGUAAUCUUAGGAUAAAUAUUAAUGCCCAGCAUAAAACACGUAAAAGAGCC